rnacentral:rRNA from 1 species
CGGGCAGGCGGUUCUGCCAGUCUGAUGUGAAAUCUCUCAGCUCAACUGAGAGCGGCCAUUGGAAACUACAGAACUGGAGUCUGACAGAGGUAGGCGGAAUUCCGGGUGGAGUGGUGAAAUGCGUAGAGAUCCGGAGGAACACCAGAGGCGAAGGCGGCCUACUGGGUCAGUACUGACGCUGAGCCGCGAAAGCCAGGGGAGCGAACGGGAUUAGAAACCCCGGUAGUCCUGGCCGUAAACGAUGUGUGCUGGGUGGUGGGGGGUCUCCCUUCACUGCCGAAGCUAACGCGAUAAGCACACCGCCUGGGGAGUACGGUCGCAAGGCUAAA